UACGAAGGGGGCUAGCGUUGCUCGGAAUGACUGGGCGUAAAGGGCGCGUAGGCGGUCCGACAAGUCAGGGGUGAAAUCCUGCAGCUUAACUGCAGAAGUGCCUUUGAUACUGUCGGUCUUGAGGGAGAUAGGGGUGUGCGGAACUCACAGUGGAGCGGUGAAAUGCGUUGAUAUUGUGAGGAACGCCGGAGGCGAAAGCGGCGCACUGGAUCUCUUCUGACGCUGAGGCGCGAAAGCUAGGGGAGCAAACGGG
rnacentral:rRNA from 1 species